UACGGAGGGUUCAAGCGUUAUCCGGAAUCAUUGGGUUUAAAGGGUCCGUAGGCGGUUUUGUAAGUCAGUGGUGAAAGCCCAUCGCUCAACGGUGGAACGGCCAUUGAUACUGCAAGACUUGAAUUAUUGUGAAGUAACUAGAAUAUGUAGUGUAGCGGUGAAAUGCUUAGAGAUUACAUGGAAUACCAAUUGCGAAGGCAGGUUACUAACAAUAUAUUGACGCUGAUGGACGAAAGCGUGGGUAGCGAACAGG
rnacentral:rRNA from 1 species